rnacentral:rRNA from 1 species
GACGAGCGCUGGCGGCGUGCUUAAAACAUGCAAGUCGAACGGGAGCUUCGGCUCCAGUGGCAAACGGCUGAGUAACGCGUGGGUGACCUACCUGGAAGUGGGGAAUAACUGCCCGAAAGGGUGGCUAAUACCGCAUGUGAUGGCGAGACCGAUCUCGUCAUGAAAGUCUUCGGACGCUUCGAGAGGGGCCCGCGUUCGAUUAGCUAGUUGGUGGGGUAACGGCCUACCAAGGCGACGAUCGAUAGCUGGUCUAAGAGGAUGAUCAGCCAGACUGGGACUGCGACACGGCCCAGACUCCUACGGGAGGCAGCAGUUAGGAAUUUUGGGCAAUGGGCGAAAGCCUGACCCAGCAACGCCGCGUGGGUGAUGAAGGCCUUCGGGUCGUAAAGCCCUUUUUCAGGGGAAGAUGAUGACGGUACCCUGAGAAUAAGCCCCGGCUAACUACGUGCCAGCCGCCGCCGUAAGAC